AAGUUUGAAGACAGCUUCUGGUGUACUCCUUUAGACGUUCCCAAGCAUCAGUGAGAGAUUCUUGACCUCCUUGUCUAAAUGAGUUAAUAUCACUUCUAAAUUU
rfam:Arabis alpina cultivar Pajares chromosome 2, whole genome shotgun sequence.